ensembl:lncRNA
CUGCAGAAAUAAUAAUGUAUCACAAUGUUGUUUCAGACAUUGUGUAUUAUUUCACAUAUGUAGUAUUAAAAAUCCCAGCAAACACAGGAUGUUGCUGGAACGUUGUGAUAACAUGCUGAAAUGGUUGCAAGUGUUGUCUGAAGGUUGUCACAGUCAAAAUGUUUUUUACUACGGUUCUGAACCAUAAAUUAAAAUUCUACUAAGGUUACAUGGACAACCACUGUACAACAUGAACACAUCACCGCCCUGAAGCGAAGCUCAGAUGUCAGACUUUUCUGACAUUACAGAAAUAGAAUAUAAUAUGUUUGUUGGGUUUGAGCACUGGAUGGAAGCGCUAUAGGAAUAUAUGACAGACUGUUGAAUUAUUAACCUGGCCAAUUGCAUGACAGAUAGUUAUGUGAUUUCAACUUUACUCACUGUGUAAAAUAAAACAUAGUAACAACAACACUACGCUAAAAAUAAGUUGGUGUAGAAACACUUGUCACUCAGAAAUUGCUAGUAAAUUGCCUCACAGUUUAAUGUUCUGUAAUGCCAAGGCUGUAGCCCAUGUCAUUUCAAUAAACAGAAUAAAACAGCUUUUUCUAGAAGACUGGACUAUUCAUCUCAUGUGAGUAAAUUUCAUUUGUAAUGAUAUUUAUUAAAAAUACUGUUCCGUACUUAGGUGCAAAACUUUUUAAAUUAGCAAAUUACCGAGUUUAAUCACAAAAUUACCGAGUGCAGCUUUAAUUAUAGAGAGAUUGCGUGUGUCCCCCUGCGCGGUCGCAGUGGUUUGUUCCACAGCAGCGCUGUUCAUACUGUAGGAGCGCUGCUUUCCUCAGUCACUGCGCCGCUGACAGCUCCUCCUCACGCUCUCUCUCUCCUUGCUCUUUCCACAUUUUUGCUCUCUGACAUUUUCACCGGAUCCCUCACGCACUUCACAAGCGCUGGGACCAAGCAGCAUAACCGCAUCCGUCUCCUGGUCACAGAAGAGAUCUGAGAGGUACGUGCAACUUCGGUUCACAAGCCUGAGUCUCUACGAACAUAGAUUUAGCGGUGUUUGAUCUGAGAGGAGGUGUUAAAGUUCAGCAUUUAUACUGACAAAUGUUAACAGGACUUUUGUGCAGAACUCUCAUUGGGCACAAAGCAGCAUGCAUGUUCUCUGAAAAUAUUGAGAGGGGAUUUUAAAGCCAGUGCACAUAAAAAAGGGCUGGUUCAAACAGAAUGCAUGGCUUUUUGAUAGUCUUUGAGUGUUGCACUGCUUUCUCAUACACAAGCAUCAUGUUUUUAAGUUAAAAGAAAUGCCACUUUUAAAAAUGCAUCUCAAGACCCUACCUUCUUCUGCAAUUGGAUACUAAUAUGUGUUGUCCUAUUUUUUUACCGGCCUCUAAUACUGCUAAAAACUGGUAUGAUGUAACUUUCAUUGAUUAGUUGAUUUUGUUAAGUUUGUGAUGCACUGUUGA